AAUGAACGCUGGCGGCAUGCCUAACACAUGCAAGUCGAACGAAGGCUUCGGCCUUAGUGGCGCACGGGUGCGUAACGCGUGGGAAUCUGCCCUUGGGUUCGGAAUAACAGUUAGAAAUGACUGCUAAUACCGGAUGAUUUCGUAAGACCAAAGAUUUAUCGCCCAAGGAUGAGCCCGCGUAGGUUUAGCUAGUUGGUGGGGUAAAGGCCUACCACGGCGACGAUCCUUAGCUGGUCUGAGAGGAUGAUCAGCCACACUGGGACUGAGAAACGGCCCAGAAUCCUACGGGAGGCAGCAGUGGGGAAUAUUGGAAAAUGGGCGGAAGGCUGAUCCAGCAAUGCCGCGUGAGUGAUGAAGGCCUUAGGGUUGUAAAGCUCUUUUACCCGGGAUGAUAAUGACAGUACCGGGAGAAUAAGCUCCGGCUAACUUCGUG
rnacentral:rRNA from 1 species